rnacentral:rRNA from 1 species
UAAGCGGAGGAAAAGAAACCAACAGGGAUUGCCCUAGUAACGGCGAGUGAAGCGGCAACAGCUCAAAUUUGAAAUCUGGCUCUCGGGCCCGAGUUGUAAUUUGUAGAGGAUACUUUUGAUGCGGUGCCUUCCGAGUUCCCUGGAACGGGACGCCAUAGAGGGUGAGAGCCCCGUCUGGUUGGAUGCCAAAUCUCUGUAAAGUUCCUUCAACGAGUCGAGUAGUUUGGGAAUGCUGCUCUAAAUGGGAGGUAUAUGUCUUCUAAAGCUAAAUACCGGCCAGAGACCGAUAGCGCACAAGUAGAGUGAUCGAAAGAUGAAAAGCACUUUGAAAAGAGAGUUAAAAAGUACGUGAAAUUGUUGAAAGGGAAGCGUUUAUGACCAGACUUGGGCUUGGUUAAUCAUCUGGGGUUCUCCCCAGUGCACUUUUCCAGUCCAGGCCAGCAUCAGUUUUCCCCGGGGGAUAAAGGCGGCGGGAAUGUGGCUCUCUUCGGGGAGUGUUAUAGCCCACCGUGUAAUACCCUGGGGGGGACUGAGGUUCGCGCAUCUGCAAGGAUGCUGGCGUAAUGGUCAUCAACGACCCGUCUUGAAACACGGACCAAGGAGUCGUCUUCGUAUGCGAGUGUUCGGGUGUCAAACCCCUACGCGUAAUGAAAGUGAACGCAGGUGAGAGCUUCGGCGCAUCAUCGACCGAUCCUGAUGUUCUCGGAUGGAUUUGAGUAAGAGCAUACGGGGCCGGACCCGAAAGAAGGUGAACUAUGCCUGUAUAGGGUGAAGCCAGAGGAAACUCUGGUGGAGGCUCGCAGCGGUUCUGACGUGCAAAUCGAUCGUCAAAUAUGGGCAUGGGGGCGAAAGACUAAUCGA